GCCGGGGUGCCCGAGCGGCCUAAGGGGCCGGCCUGGAGAGCCGGUGGGGCACGUCCCCACGCGGGUUCGAAUCCCGCCCCCGGCGCCA
rnacentral:tRNA from 1 species